GGAAUCCAAUUAACCAAGAAAUAGAGCAACCUGGUGUUGAACUACAUUCGAGGAUGAAACAAAUCUAUGGCCCAUUAAUAAGUAAUACAGAACCUAAUGGGCCAAAUUGGACCUCAAUGACAAUGUCGGCUCUGAAUCCAAAGAAAUCGCUUAUCGACCAUUAGUUUUCCAUCCAAUCAUAGGAAAAUAUUUGUAGAUUAAAGAAAGAUUCAAGAAAUGUCAACCUCCAUGUCCAAGAUUAAGAACAAGAUAUGCAUAUAAGCUUUCAUGGGCACUAUGUGAUAUUACUUCGCUUUCAAAGUAGUUAGAGAUAAGUUUCACUUGCCCUAAAAUGCCAGCACUCAGCAGAUUAGAAGACUUGACAAGAAACUCCAGAAAGAAAUGUGGGGUACCGUUGCUGAACUUCAUGAUCUUGUGAAACUUUUAUUUUUCAAUCAUCUUAUUGUGGGUUAAUUGAGAGUUGAUAUUAUCCUGAACCAAUGCAAAAGAGGAACUUGGUAGCUCCUUUCCAGUUAUAGCACGUCAAAAUCUGGUCAUUAUCAGAGUUCCAUCUCUUAAUCAGAAAGAACUGUGAGAAUUAGGUAGUCCCAUCUCUAUGCAGAACCAAAAAUUGAUAGUAACAUCACAGAGAAAUCAGUUCCCAUUCCCUUCAAAUUUGCCUAUUUUGCAUGGAAAAUUCCAGCAAAAAAACAACUGGACGAUGUGGGUUCUUCUAAUUUCCUGAUGGUCAAUUAAGUGAUAAUUUUACAAGCCAAGAGAUCCAUAAUCUAGUUCAGCUCAUGUGCAUUUGUGACUACGAUACAGAAUGCCUCCUGCUUCUGGAAGGAGUGGAUUUUGUUUCUUCUGCAGUAGCAGAACCAGGACUCUCUGAUGUAUCAGAGCUGCUAAUCUCACCAUUUCGUUCUUUGCUUGACCAGAGCUUUGUGAAGAUCUUCGACAUUACUAAACCUCUCAUUUUAUUGGCUGUAGCUUUUUCAACAUCAUUUUUAACACCGUCAUUCAGAUUUCUAUCACUCCUGCCUAAUCGUAGGGUAGCAAGUUCACCUUUCAAAGCCAUUAUAUCUUCGGCUGUCGGCACAGCAUCCCAUUCCUCUUCUGUGUUGGUUGUAUUAGACCUUGAGCUCUCAUGAGAUCCGCCAGGGAGUAAUGCCCUAAUGGAUCUAGGUAGUUCUGGUGUGCUGUUGCCAGCAGUUGAUGUUGCUUGCCUAACCUGCUCAAAGAAGAGGACCUGCACAACCACCCGCAAGGGAAGCCGCUCAUUUUGCACAGCAUGCAUGCAGGCUUCCCCCGACAACUUCCUGCAAUCCAUCAAUCUGCAUAUUCUCUUUCUCUCACUCUUACUUAUCCCAGGGUGUUCCUUAAGAUACAUAUCAAUGGCACGAUAAAGUCCAUCAUGCAAUGGUCUUGGGAAACUUGAGAUCAUUUCUGCAAGAUUGACGAACUUUGAAAGAGGUAGAUUGGGAUCUCGUGCAAUUUCAGCAAGAUAGCCAUCCACCAACUUUGCUACUUGCAUCUUGGAAGCAUCUGAUCCUAACUUUGGGCUUCUACUCUCCUGGUACUCAUUUUCCAUGAGAAAAUCAGUCUGAGCAUUCUGCUUAUUUGUCACAAACUCCUCUACUAAGCUUUGCACAAUAUCAACAUUAUACAUUGUUGUUUCCCCUGCUGAGGCAUGAAUCAAAAGAUCAGCCACUGUACCAUCCUCUAGCUGCUGGCCAAUCCUUUUCAUCAGUUCGUUUUUUUCCAUCUCCCCACAUUCUAACAGAAACGCUGCUCUUAACAACCUAAGCAUAAAAGUGCAGGGAACACUGCCUUUCUCUGUUGGCAGUAGCCACACAAUGGCUUCUGCCAGUGAUCUAUAUUUCAUGAUGUCACUGCUCUGUACUAUUCCCUUACUAAAACCUGGCAAUCUUCUCAAGGCAUAUGCAUUCAGGGCUUCUCCAAUAACAUCACCAGAGACUCUUCCUUUUGUUUUGAUUGUUGUAAUUAUCCUUCUAUAUAAAUCAAUCUGAAGCUCACAGAGAUCUUCUACCCACCAAUCUUUAGGAACUGUUUGGGGUUUUCUUACACCAUUCCAGAUGGGAUCCUUCCCAUUCUCAGAUGGGAGCUUUCUCCUAUUAUAUGUGUAUGACCACUCCACCUUGGAAGUAUCAAUGCAAGCCUUUGAAGCUAUUGAAUCCAGGCAAUGGCUGACCAGCUUUAACUCCUCAGCCCAGGGAAGAAGGGACUUUGUGGUUUGAAGAACAAUAAUUGAGUCUUUCCAACUGCGGAAGAUGCUAGAAUUAAGGAAGACUUCAAUCUUGUAGAUGAGGUUUCCUUUCUCAACAGUUUCAUACAUUUCAAGGUACUCUGCUGCACAUCGAGCUGCAACCACAUUAUAUGCAUUAAGAGUGACUGUCAUACCAUAACAAAACUUUGCACAUAUCUCAAAAGCAGCAGGUCCACCAGGAAUAUCCUGGAUGUGAAUUUCAUCGAUAUUCUCAUCGUUUGUGUUUGCAACCAGCUUCUGCAGACGCGCACUUUUGGACAGCAGUGGAAACUACAGAAAUAUUUUAGAAAUUAGGACAAUCAAACAAAAAUUCUGAUCACCUAAAUCCAAUACAGGUAACUAUAUUGAUAUUAUAUAAGGCAUAGCUGGUAUGAUUAUUAAGCAGGAGCAUUUUAUGUAUUCAAAUAAAUAAAAAUAAAUAAAAAGAACAGGUAGGAAGUUAUUAAGAUGGUUCGAGCUACAACUUGUUGUCCAUGGAACCAGUAGAGCAAAACAACCAACGUAAUUGUUAGCCAAAAAGAAUCCUUCAUGUAUUAUAUUCUCAAUUUUUGGAUCAUAGUGUUCAAGGAGGAGGGAACAUAACACGAUAUGGAAUAGACCCAGUCAUUAAUACCAAAAUGAUCUACCAUUUUUCAUAGCACCAUUAAUAAGUUCGAAACACUAUUGACUCGUGCAUACUCCUUGUGUCUUAUGCAUGGUAACUGGCAAAUUAUUGUACAAGAUAGCACCCAGUUGAAAGAUCAAAUAGAAUUCAUACCUUAUGCAGAUAAAAUUUCACAUCUCCAACAUUAAUUACUAUGUCAGUCGCCAGCUCAGUUGCCACAUACCUAAUAUUGUCCCCAUCCACCAGAAACGAAUCAGGCUUGGAUCCAAGUUUCAUGAACUUCAUUUUGCCAAAUAAAGAUCAGCUCCCCUCCCUUGCAGAAUCUAAUUUCCAAAUUGUUUCAAAUCCACAAUUACAGAAGCAAAACCACCAUGAAGGCUUCAGGGAAGAAAAAAAGGGAAAAAAAAAAACCCAGAAAUGAGAUUGAACUCCUGAAAUUGACCAGCUGUUCAAGCCAAAGAGAAUGGAUCAAAGAAAGCUUGAUGAUGAGUUUCUUAACGUGUCCGAAAUCUUGCCCACAAAACAAGGCCAAGGUGAGAAAGAGAGAAAUGACUAAAUGGAGGCAGUAUGAUCUUUGACAAAGUGAAGUGAGUUUGCUUCCUGAAUUGGUAACAGAGUCCAAGGGCCCAGGACUGAGAAGGUUAACUAAGGAGACAAUGUCUAAAAAUUGUCUUAAAACAUUUAUAUAAACUAAAGCAAGAGAGACACCCCCACUUGCUCAAAACUGACACCACCGUCCUUAUAUCAUUUGUUUAUGCUCCUCUCUCUUGUUUUUGCUUUUCUUAACCAAUGGAUCUCACACACACUACUAAGAGACCUUUACUUCUGGUCCACAAAGCUUCAAGACCAGAACCCCAGAAUGCAAAUUCCUUUACAAAUCAAAAUACCCUUCCAGCUCUUCAAUUUAAGCUACAAACACCUUGAAGAUGUGUCUCUAGAAACUGCCCAAAAUGUCUGAUAGCGAAGCACCUUGUGUUUCUUACCAAUUUGAAGAUGUGUCUCUAGAAACGGCCCAAAAUGUCCGAUCGCGAAGGACCUUGUGUUUCUUACCAGUUAGCCAAGUACCAAAAGAUAAGAAGAAUCAUAUAAGCAUGGCAAUAGUCACACAGCAGAAGAGAACACAAUACUACGUUCAAUGCAUGAGAGGGCCUAUUACCUGCAGGACAAAACCCAAAAGGAGUAACCCCACGUACCACCAAAUCCACCCAACAACACCCAAAAACUUCACAUAAAAAAAAUGAAGCUGUUCCUCAUCUAAUCUUUUGACAGCCACCACUGGCUACACACACACAAAAAGCCAAAUCUCAGAGUGUUCCCACCCCCAUCUCUACUAUUUUCCUUUGAAUCAGCACCACCGCCCCCACCACCACCACCACCACCACCAAACCCCCCUCCUCCUCCACCACCACCAUUGAAUGUACUACCGGCACCGUUAUAACCAGGAAAGAAGAAGAAGGUCUUCUCCUCUCCAGCUGCACCCUUUUUGCUUACAAAUAGCUUCCUACCAUCGGUGGGAAAAACGAGUAGACCAAGAAUGAAGAGUAGAAAAAGCCUAGUAGCAGCCAUUAUCAAUAUCAAGAUAAUGUAUCCACUGAAAGUUAAAUACCUUGCACGACAAAACUAGCAUCAAGAGGUGGAAUAUAUAUAUACACACACAAAAGACGUACAAUUCUAUCUUUGGAAGUUUAAAAACAAAGUGACAGUUGAGAAGGUUAUAAAUUUCACACAUUGUCAUCUAUAAUCUGUUGGAAAAUUAAUACACCCAUCUGCCGUAGAGACCAGCUAGGUGACCACCUUUGUCGAUCACUAGACCUGGCUAACUGGAUUUUCAUCUCAUUGACGUCUGAACUACCUUUUU
rnacentral:misc_RNA from 1 species